GAUUCUUUUUUACGUGACUGGGGCUUUGUUGGCACAGUCCCAUUUUCUCAUGGAAGCUUUGGCAGAAGUUGCAAGUUGAUAACUUGUUUAUUAAUCCAUGUUCUUUUUGCACUGCACAUGCUCUUGUUUAGGAAAUUCCAUUUAGUCGCAAUUAUUGGUUAUGGCUAUCCAGACAUGAAAAAGCAUAUCAUUAGAAUGUUCCUUCUUUUUUCCCCCAGUAG
rnacentral:misc_RNA from 1 species